CCAAUAAAAUGUGUUUAUGCAAAGCAACACAAUGUUAUUUCUUCUAUGGUUGUAUAUUAUAGUUUACCAUAUCAAGAAAUUGCUGUUGAUCUUGUUAUCAGUUUGUAUGCUAAAAGUAAGAUGUUUAUUAUUGAUGUGGUUAAGUAAUGUUCUUGAAGGUACGAGAGAAAGAGAGAGGGGGGAAUGACUGUUUUUAUUACUGAAUUUUUAACAUGGCAUGUAGAGGUAAUACGAUUUUUAGACACGUUUAACUGACACAUCCAAUACUCUCAUUAAUACUUUCUUUUUAUUUUUCCAUCAGUAUUUUUGUACAUCGCAUUCAAACUAUUCUCUACAUUUUGGUGUUAUUUUUAUCCUUACAGAUGAACUUACCCUUUAGACUUAACACAUCUUGUGAAAAAGGGUAUUUUUUUUACUAUUGACAUAGAUAUGCCGUUUGAUUGCUUUCUAGUUAACGUGGACGCCCAAACUUCAGGGGCCAAAAUCAGCACUGGUGCCUCGAGUGCCAGCGGGCAGUCUGCUGUCAUCCAAACAGUCAGCGGGUACCAGCCCCAGAUCCCCACGUUGAUGUACCAGGUUCCAUUUCCAGGCCCCUUGAUGCAGCAAAAUCCAGCUUCCGGGGUACAACAAGCAUCCCCGGUGGUACAACAGACACUCCCUCUGGGCGGACCCAUGUGGAUACAGCAGCCUCAGCAGGCCUUUAAUAACCAGCCUGCGCAGGUGGUGUACUCCAACCAGCUACCGCCCUUCCCUCUGCAGCCCACCCAGGUACUCCAGCAGAUUCAACAUCCAAAUGCUCAGGUAGUUUACGUGCUUCCCCAUCCCUCGCAACCUGUCAACCAGCCUUAUUUCUCUCCCCAGGUGUUGGCCAGCUGCCAGGUCCAUCCCAAAUCGUGAACCUCGCCCCUCCGUUGCAACCAGGCAACCAGACGUCUCAGGUGUUCACGUGCUAUCCCAGAAUCCCUCGCUCCCUAUGGGGGUGUACAGCGCACCAAGCCCGAUGCAAGCCGGCGGUUAUCCUUCUUACUAUUCCGUGGUCUACUUGUCCCCUUCGCUCCCAGCGCAGCCACCCGAGCAAGAUAGUAAAGGGACGGAACCACGGGAAACAUCCGGAAAUAACUCCUCAGCAGGAAGCGGGACAGCGUCACCUAGAUCCUCUCAAGGUUACAGCAGCCCGCAAGCUAAAAUGACUAUUACUCCAUUUCCGGAGCCCCCAGCACCUGCUGCUUUAGUUUCACCGCAAGCUCAGGUUCAGAAUCUAAAUCAAGUUCAGAGCCCAGGUAAGGGACCACCUCAAGACCAAAGCCGAGGUCAGGCAACAGCCGAAAUUCGAACUCCAGCGCCGACGCCACAACCACCACCAACAUCAGCGGUGACCUCAGCGCCCCCUGAAAAAAAGCCGGUAAUGGGUCAAGUCGGCAGCAACUCGACCAACUCCGCCAAGACGAAGACCAGCAGCACGCUGCAGCAUGGGCUCCACCUUACCACGGCAGCUGCACAGCGCGUCGCAGACCCUGGCUCGGCAGCUGGGGGUGACUCAGUACUACGAGGCUCACGGCUGUCUCGACCCGGGACUGUACCUGCCGCAGGACAGUCAGGGUAUGACCUGCGCAAUGCCGCAGGCUUACACCAUGUGCCGGGUGGUGGGACAGCUUCAUCGGGCCACCCGCGGUCAUGGACUGAUGGGUGUCGGCUCCCCUCUGGUCAGCCGGGGGCUGCUGGAGACCUGCCUGUCUCAAAGCUCCUUCCGCCGCCAGCUCAUGACUGUGAUGGGGAACGACCAUUUCGGCAUCGACCCCUUUAUGAUGUCCAGCAUGAUGGGCACGCUGGACGGGGACAUCAUGAUGCGGGCAAUGGCCCUGAUGAACAUGAUGAACGGCGGGGGCUCUGGGAUCGUUGCUGCACCUUUGAUCAGCCCUAGUUCUGGAAUCAACGGGGGCGGUAGGGAGAAGGCGACCCCAGCACCCUCCUCGGCCGCCGGAGGUGGGGUGGACGACCCUAGCGGGAUGUGUAGCCUGGUGUUGCACAUGCUGCUGAUGCGGACAGACGUUGGCAUGGUGCUCCCACCCGAUGGCAUAGAGUCGAUGUUUGACAUGCGACGGACAGCGGUACCCUACCAAUGCCAGGACCUGCGCGCAGGACUCAUUCACUUCUCAAUGUGCUGCCCUAACCAGAUGAAUUCACCCUCCAUGAUGGACCUACUUACCACCUUAUUCACCUAGUCUCCAACAACAGUGACAGGACAGCAACAAUAACAGCAAUAUGAUGUGUGAAUCGAAAGAGAAGACUCUAAGAAAGGAAUUAUACCCAAAGACACUGUAGCAAACAAUGCAAGUAGAUAUUAGACAUGAGAUAAACAAGUGAUAUUGAGGCUAGCUUGGACUGGGAUUGCUCUGAUGCUAACAGUUUAGCAUUUCUUCACCGGUGUUCUGCAGCAAGCAGUCAAGUUGAACAUGUGCACCUAGGAAACAAUGCAUCAGGAGAAUUUCAAUGCAUGUACUGCACUAUUUAUUUUUAUUAUGCGAUUAUCUGAUAAUCGUUCAGUCCGAGAACGUUGCCAUGGAAACAAAUAUCAGCAACUCCGCCAACUGUAGCAAAACCUUGCUGAGAUAGACUGUCAUGCAGUUUCAGACUGCCAAAUACAUUUUAAAAAACUCAAAUGAAAACAUUUAGCAUGGGCUAAGAAUUUCUUUCCAGUCUCUCUAACAUAAAGAGAACGCCAGUGUUGACACUGAGCGCAAGUCAUUACAAGACUGGUUUGUCAAUUUUUUUAAUGGUGAUUUCAGUUUGGUUUUGUGUCUUUCAGAAUGUCAGUAUGUUAGCCUGCAUGUCUGCCUGUAUUUCUGUCUGAAUUUUCAUGAAUUUAUCUGUCUUAUUCCUUUCUGUGUGUCAGGGUUGUGUGGAUGUGAGUGACUGUGAAUGUACAAAACUGUGGAAAUGCAUUACUUGUAUAUAGUUUUGUUCUAUAGACUAUACUGAGUGCAUGCCUACACGAAAGCUUUGUUUAAAUGCAUUUUGUACUAUACACUAUACGGUAUGGAUGUUAUUAUACUAUAAUUGCAUAAUUUCAUAUACUCUGAUACCCGAGAAUGUGAUAUUUUGUUUACAUUUAAUUCAAAAGGGAGAUAAACAUUAUUUUGCUGGUAAAUCAGAGAUGACAAAUUUCUCAAUUAAAACUUAUCCGAGAGCACACAAAGAUACUGCAGGAUUAAGCAGAUAAUCCCAAACACCUAUGUCAUACAAAAGACCUCACACAAAGCAACAAACAAUAAUCUGCACAUCUAGCAGUACUUAUUCUCUAAUUAAACAUCUUUCACAUGAUUUAUCAGCUCAGUGUAUAAAUAAUAACAUCAAGUAUAAUGGGCAUUUAACAGUAUUUUGACCAGCAUUUAAUCAUCGCUUUGCACCUACCUCAUUGUUCCAUUACCAAACACUUAACAGACUGUCAUAGUGGAUAAAAGGAAGAAACUGCUGUUUAGUUUCAGAUCCUUUUCAGGGUUCUGUCCCUUAGAAAGAAGACAGUAAGUCAUGAUUUAGCUCUGAAUAUACAACUGUAAACUUAUCAUGGUGUGGCCUAGUGUCAUAUGCUGUGUGGGUUGCCAACUCUUAUAUAAAUUUACAUGCUAAUCUAAAAAAAAAAUACAGCAUCAAAAUAGGUCUAGUUAAAACUGCAAUUGUUUUAAAAUAAUAGGUUUGUUUGGGUUGGUGACUGCAUCAUGUCAUGGCACUAUUUGAUUAGACAAUAUCAACACCACAAUAUUCAAAUUACCAUAUUUUACAUUAAUUGAUUCCUUAAAUCUACAGAAUAUCUUUAUUAUUUUAGUGUAGUAAAACAAUUACCAGGCACCAGGAACUUCUUUUUACAAACGUUUAGAAACAUAAGAAAAUGUUUCUGCUUGUAGUGGAGAAAACUGUUUAGCCAUAUGCAGUUGUAAACAAUAGUGUGAAAUAUAUGUUCAAUGUCACAGGCUUUUUCUCUUUUGCUAUCUUCUUAUUGGAGAUGUAACUUUAAUGUCUCUCAAAGCAGUCUAUGGUGGUUUUCAUAUAUCAAAGAGAAAAUAAAAAUCUGGUGAGAUGCAAUGUCAUUAUCAAACUCAGUUUUAUUUUUUUCACUAAUUUCAAUUAACUAGCAAUGUGGGUGAAUAAAAGCAGCUCGGCAAAGAAGAAAGAAAAGAAAUAUGAAGGAAUGGAAGAAGGAAGAAAAUAAUUCGACAAAACCAUGUAAUAAAGUGUAAGACUUUAAAGUAACAAACAUUUAAACAAGCAAUAAAAUGGUCUGUAACCUCUUAAGUAAUUUUUAAAAAGUCACUCUGAUUAUGCUUGCAUGAAAAAUAUUUUCCCUUCUUGGUCAGAAGGAACAAUUGCAGAAUACAGAGCUAAAGGCUAUUUUUUAAUUAUGUGAUAUUCAACGAGGCUGACACCUCAUCGACUUUUUCCCCGCAAUGUGGAGAUCGCUGUUACUUCAUGUGUGGAAUAUUUUUAAUUCUUUCCUAAUUGCAUGACUUUGGAAUACAAAGUUAGCAGAGUUCAAAGCUUAGUGUGGAAAACCAGAAUUUGCAAAAAAUAAAUAAAUAAUGAUUUACAUUGUGAAUAGAAAAUAAAUAGCCACAAAAGGAUAA